CUCCACACGGAGCUGCAGGAUCUCCUGCUCUUGCCGCUCUUGCGUUGACCGCACGCAGUCUCUCGACCUCUUCGGUUGCGGUGCGGCUCACGAGGUCUUCCGUGGCCGCCCUGACGGUGGCUGCCAACCCCUUCAGGACACGCAUAUAUGUGACAUCCAGAAGUUCCUGAAUAAAUAAUGAGAGUUCUUUCCUUCUUCCGUCGCGUCGACCGCUGGAGCGGUUAUCUUAGUUUAUUUUUAUUACUUCUCACAAUCUUGCAUUGUUGUAAUGCGUUAAAGAGUUACGAAGAUUAUAAAAAAAACCUUACUUUUUGAUAAUAGUCGUAAAUGUUGAGUAUUAUGAUAAAUCGUUGUGGAAAUCCCACAACCUGUUAUCGGUGCACUUCUAAAAAUUUACAAUGUUAAAAUUUCAAUAAAAUUUCUUAUCUUCUAGUUAAACAUCAAACGUUUUAUAGUUAUCUGAUUAUUUCUAGUGUUAUUGAUUAGGUACCUAUUUAAUUUUUAUAUGUCGGCGCAACGUUACUGUUAACUAAGAUUAGUUAAAAUGUUUAACUGUUUCCUUAAUGUUACCCAUGCAAACAAUUGGAUAAGACGGUAUUCAGGAGAAUACAUGACUAAGUUACCCCCACCCACAUACGAGUGACUAUUGUCAGCGUCGGGCGCGGUAGCCGUUGUACUUACUGUAAAAAGUGAGACCUUACAACUCAUGUCUCAAGGUAGAUGGCAGCAUUUAUGUUGUAGAUGUCUAUGGGCUCCGGUAACCACUUAACACCGGGUGGGCUGUGAGCUCCUCCAUCUAUCUAAGCAAUAAAAAAAAAAAAAUUAUUGAUGCAUCUCUGCCAGCACGGUGGUAAUUUUUCAAUUCCCUUCUUGAAAAAGUCAGGUCUACGAGAGCUACAAACUUUUCACAAGAAUUUUGUACCGUCUCCCGGGUGUUACAUUUCUUCCCCACCAAGAAACUGUCCAGUCUUUGGAAAAACUAAUCGAAUGUCGGCGUAAAACCUGGUCGGUGCGGUGGAUGACGCAAAACUUCCAAUCCUAGCUGUGUAGUGCCGCGUGAAGUCGUGUCGUGUAGGAGCAGCGGAGACCAGCGAUUAACGAAGGGUGGCUGGAGGUUCACGAGUGCUCCACUGUGUCCUCGACGCAGCUACGGCUUUAUACGUGUAAAACAAAUUUAGGUCUGGAUCUAAUGACAAGACCACCAUCGUCGAUGGUCGAUGGCUGGGAUCUUCAUGAGAACCUUACUCUGAAUAAAACUGAAACAAUAAAACUGUAGCAAUCAAUAUCUCCCAGAUACAUUCUUAGCGAGUAAUCCUUUAGAUGCAUUCAGCAGAAAAUUGCGUUAGGGUCGUUCCACACGCAUCGACGCGCGCUGAUUGAAAAUGUAUUGGCGCGUGGCUUAUCAGGCCGGGGCACUCCGCGGCGGCGAGCACGGCCCCACUCCGCGCCGAGCUCCCGCCAGACUCCACACGCACUCACUCACUCCUCUGGAAUCCAAUAGAGUCUCUUGUAAGAUGUCAGAAGGCGUAUCGAAGGAUGCCUUUGUAGCCUUCUCUUUGAUUUAUUUUACGUUCUUCUUGGACAAUGUUUUGUUAACCGUGCUGGUGCCCAUAGUCCCGGACUGGAUCCGCGGCGAGUCCUUGGAGCUGUGGGCCCGCCGGGAGGCGCCGCUCGCCGCCAUCCUCAACACUACCAUGCGCCACAUGCAGCGAGACAACUACCAAGGUGUCGGCAGCUCUCAAGCAGCCGUAGGACUAGUUCUGGGAGCAAAGGCGACGGCCCAGCUGGUGACGGCUCCGUUCGCCGCCGCCGCCGUCGGCAAGUACGGGCCCGCCAGGGUGCUGCGGGCGGCCACCGCGCUGCUGGCGGCUGCUGCCCUCGUGUUCGCGUGCUGCGGGGUGGUGGGGUCGGGGUGGGCGGCGGGCGCGUGCGCGUGGUGCGGGCGCGCGGUGCACGGCGGGGGCGCGGGGCUGGCCGCCGUGGCUGGCCUCACGUUGGGGGCGGCGCUGCGCCCCGCGCGCAUCCCGGCGCUGCUUGGCGCGGUCGCCCUCGGGGUGCUCGUGGGGUAUCCGUUCGGGGGCGCGACCAACGCCCUCUGGAGCAGGGAGGCGCCAUUCCUGAUACUCACGGCCGCUCUGCUCGCUAAUUUUGCAAUGGCAGGCGGGGCUGGUGUUCGUGCCGGACAGCACGGGGUACCUGGUGUGCAGCGUGUGCGCGGGGCAGUGGGGCCGCCCCGGCCGGACCGCCGCGCUGGGCCAGCUCACCGUGGCGCUCGCCGCACUGGCCCUGCCACAUGCCUCCUCGGUGUGGGGGCUGGUGCUGCCGCAGACGGGUCUGGGCGCGGGGCUGGGCUGCACCGACGCGGCGUUGUUCCCGGCGCUGCUGGGCCGCGCGCACGCGCACCGCCCCGCCGCCGCGCUGCAGGCCGCCUCCAGCGCCGCCUACACGCUCGGUCCCAUCGUGGGCGGCGCGAUGUCGUGGCUGGUCGGGUUCGAGACGACGCUCCGCACUCUCGGGGUGCUGAACAUGCUGUACGCCUGGCACCUGUACCGCGUGCUCGGAGACUACCCUUCUUCAGAGGUUUCAACCAUCCAUAACACUUACAUACACAAGUACACAAGAUGUUAAAGACACACUAGAUGUAUUGACUGAUUGUCGUCUCAACCCCUGCGGCAAGACAGAAGUUACCCAUUGUCUAAGAGCGUUAGCAGACUCAGCGUUCAGUCGGGCCUUAUAGAAGCCACUGGAUUCUGUUGUGUAGGAGCAGUCCUCCAUUCAAGAGAACGAAAGACCACUCCACGAGAGAAACAAGUAGGGAAGUGUGGGGAGACGAGUCUGAAGCAGACAGUGGCGAAGCGCGCCAGGGUGAAGUGACUCCACUGAAAGACGACCUCUACGCACCUCUGCACUAAAUGUCUUUAAUUCAGUCAAUAAUGUGAACCAAUUAGUUAAUAAAUAUGCUUCACUGAGAA